AAAGUCCUGAUGUGUUCGUUCUACACCUAGUUUUGACCUAACAUUAAUUCUACGGGAGCUCAUGUUUCUUUACAGAGUAAAUGCCUUAUCUACGGUAAAGAGGACUUACAUACGUAAAGAACAGAGCACCCACCUGCUGAGUGCGGGAUCAAAACGAGGGAAUCGUAUGACGGCACAAUCGGGACUACA
rnacentral:other from 1 species